AUACGGAGGAGCCAAGCGUUAUCCGGAAUCAUUGGGUUUAAAGGGUCCGUAGGUGGAUAAUUAAGUCAGAGGUGAAAUCCUGCAGCUCAACUGUAGAAUUGCCUUUGAUACUGGUUAUCUUGAGUUAUUAUGAAGUAGUUAGAAUAUGUAGUGUAGCGGUGAAAUGCAUAGAUAUUACAUAGAAUACCGAUUGCGAAGGCAGAUUACUAAUAAUAUACUAACACUGAGGGACGAAAGCGUGGGGAGCGAACAGGAUUAGAAACCCUAGUAGUCC
rnacentral:rRNA from 1 species